GCGGGGAAGAGUUGACGACCGUGUGGACGGCCGUCGGGCUGUGGCGUGGUGAGCCGUGGAACAGAAUCCGCCUCGCCGUCAGAUUCGUGGACCACGAAGUUCGCUUUCCGUGGUGGUAGAAACGAAUUGAAGGCAGGACCGAGAGUCUUCGCGACUAGGGCGUGGGUAGACUCGGGGACAUAGGCAACGAACGCCGCCGGCGAGAGUUUCUGAUGCAACCAAUCAGCAGUCUGGUAGGGGAGGUAGGGGAGAGCUUGGUGCCGGCUCCGGCGGCUGUGAAUGCCUUCGCCGUGGGGGAUCUCGAAGUGGCACCGCAGGUGAAGCACAAAUCUUGUGGGCGAAGGGGGUGGCGGCGAACAGAAAGGAGAGCUCGCCGCCAAUGUCAGGAGCUAUUGAUGGGGAAGAUGAAUCCCCAAGCUGCCAAGCACCGGGGUGGAACAAAAGGUUGGUGAAGUAGCAACUUUGCCUUCCAUCAGAAAAUCUGUAAUUUAAGUUACAAACGAUUCAAUAAAUCAUGCAGUUAGAGCAAGUGCUUGAUUGCUGUCUGCACUAGUAAAUUUCAUGUUGUAUCCGCCUGUGUUUCGAGGCUGAUUUGUUCUGUGCGUUCAAAAAAAUGUAGGCUAUAUGCGCAUGUAAUCCAUGAAAGCAGAAAUGCAGGCUGAGAAUGGGAGGAGAACUACGAGGAGAAACAAACUAGAAUUGGGAGAAUGCUUAUGAGAGCAAACCUUGUAGUCGAGAGGCAUGCCAGCAAGAUUUGUACAAGAGCAACGUUCGAACAGUUUGGGCACAUACUGAACGAGUGCGGGGCUUAUCAAGUUGAAGAGGUUGACAAACAUAGGACGUACAUUGCAAUCCAUAGUGAAGCAGAGAAGAGGGAGAAGUGGUGCAGGGCAUCUUACAAGGUUACAAUGCUUGAUGAGGGGAAUGAAUUCGAGUUCGAGUGUGGCCAGUUUGCACACGUGGGCCUGUUGUGCAGGCAUGUGUUGAAGGUUCUAGACUUCAUUAGAGCUAAAGAAAUACCAGUGAAACAUAUAGUGAAGAGGUGGAUGAAGGAUGCUCGAGAUAUAUUGCCAGCUCACCUGACACAGUACCAGAAAGACAGUAUAUAGAACAACACAUUCUCAUAUCGACACUUCACCGUGUACAUGCACGUGAUGGAACUUGUGAUGUAGGUGACACAAGUGUGGAUGCAUAUAAUCGGUUGAAAUUUGAUAGUGAUGUUACCUUAUGCAGAAGUUAGGGAUGGUCUUGGCCUACAUGAUCGACUUGCAGACAAAGGUGCCAUGCUGAAUCGAGUCCAGCCAAUGGUGGUGUGCGCAGGUCAGGACAGCAAUGUCCAAGAAGCUGUGGAUUUUGGUUUCCCACUACUUCAGAGAAUACAAUGGCCUAUACCUUGAGCAUCAGCUCUCUGGGGACGAGCUAGCAUAUCUAAAGAAGCAGCUUGCAUACGAGGUGAUCUCCAUGAAGGGGGAAAAGGAUGAGCUCCCAAUCUUCAUGAUGCACGAAGUGCUAUUCUGAAAAAGGAAGGAGAGGCCAUGUCAUGAUGUAGUUAGUUAUAUUAUGUGUAAGAGUUCAAGUUUGCGAAGAAAAUCUAGCUAAGACUAGUUCUAGUAAUUAGAUGGGAUUCGUCGCACUGGGAAUCUUGUUUAGCUCCCAUCCUUCAUAGUGGUGUGUGGGCACUUCUUAUCCCGCUGUCUAUGGAAGCAGAAAAGGUGAAGACUGCAGCUGACUAUUUUGCGUGCAGACCUCUAAGUGAUUAGAGGACAGGACUUGUAGGAAAACCCUGUGUGUUUUGGUAGGUAGCAUGAGUGUGGCAAGAUGUCUCAUUUUGGUUUUGACAAACUUGUGUUGAUCUCUGCAUGUAAAAGACAGUGAUGUUUGAAGUGUAUGUGUGUGAUGUAUUGCUGUGAUGACUUGGA